rnacentral:rRNA from 1 species
CAAUACUCCCGCCGGCGACCGGCGCACGGGUGAGUAACACGUAUGAAACCUGCCCGUAGCAGGGGGAUAAGCGGAAGAAAUUCCGUCUAAUACCGCGUAACAACCCGAGGAGGCAUCUCCUCGGGUUUAAAGGAAGCGAUUCCGGCUACGGAUGGUCAUGCGUCGCAUUAGCUAGUUGGCGGGGUAACGGCCCACCAAGGCGACGAUGCGUAGGGGUUCUGAGAGGAAGGUCCCCCACACUGGUACUGAGACACGGACCAGACUCCUACGGAAGGCAGCAG